GGGCAAGAGGCUGUGGCUCCAGAGGGCACGGGAAGGAGCCUGUGUGACGGCAGAGCUCUGUGUUUGGCCAGUGUCCGUGGCAUUGUGGGUUCAGGCGCUGUGAAAGACUCUGGUUUUGCAGGACGUUAUCAUCAGGGAAGACUGGGGGAAGGGUACGUGGGAUCUGUCUGCGUUAUUUUUUACAAUUCUACGUGAACCUACAAUUACCUCAGAAGGUUGAAUUAAAAAUAUAUGUAAGCUCUGGAAAGAAAAAGAAAAGGAAAGGGAGAAAGCAAGGAGUUCACGGGGCCAUCUGCAUCGGAGGCGCAGAGUUUCCAUUCUCUCCGAGCACUGGAAAGGGAGCUUGGACAAUGUCUGAACCGGAUACACUCAGGCAGGGCAGAGAGGGGUCCCCUGGCUGAGAGCGCGGGUAAGGUAGAUGGCAAUAGGAGAGGCAGAGAUGGCCAGAAUCCCCAGAGGUAUGGGGUACAGAGUAAAUAUUGGUCAUCUGGGCAGGCAGCACUCAUUGAGCACCUACUGAGUACCAGGUGCUGUUCUAGGGCUAGGGAAUUAAGCCAGCAUGCCUGCCUGCAAUUCUUGUGUUUUUAGAAUGGGAGAGAGACAAAAACAGGCAACAACUAAGUGACUAGAGCAAUAUCAGGUGCUGCCAGGUGCUACGAAGAUGCACAGAGUGGCUGAGGGGCUGCUUUUGCAGGAGUGGUCAGGGAAGGCUUCUCUGAGGAGGUGGCAUUGAGGAAGACCUAAAUGAGAAGGAGGCAGCCGUGUGAACAUGUGCAGAGGAAUAUUCCAAGCAGUAGGAAGAGCAGGUGCAAGAGUCCUGAGGCAGAGACAAGCGUGCUGUGUUUGAUAUCCUAGCCCUCCCACACCUCCCUCCCCAUGAAGGCCACAGAGAGGGAGAUAUUGGAGAUGAAGCUGAAGAGAUGGGCAAGGGCCAGUUCCUCUAGGUACUUGCAGUCUUUGGUAAGGAGUUGGUAUUGGGCAGCCCCUGGAAUGUUCUAAGUAGGGACACAAUUUGCUGUGUAGGGGCCUGGAUUUUAGAGAAGCAAGAGUGGAAGACAGGAGAUUGUGCCAUGCUACUGCAGUAGUCUGUGUAAGAUGGUGGUAGUGGGACUAGGGUUUUGGCAGUGAGAUGAAGAAUUGUGAGAUUUAGGGAUUCUUUGAAAGUAUCUCUAAAAAAGAUUCACUGAGGGUCUAGAUAUGGGUGGUGUAAUGGUUAAUUUGAAUAGUCAACUUGAUUGGAUUAAGAGAUGCAAAGGCUUAAGAGGGUUAUGGGUGUGUCAGUGAGGGUGUGUCUAGGAAUGAUUGGCAUGUGGGAUGGCCAACUGAAAUGGAGACCCUCCCUAAGUGUGGGCAGCACCGACCAAUAGGAUGAUGGCUUAGAUGGAAUAAAAGUUGGAAGAAUAAGAAAGCAGGAGUAGAUGCAAGCUUGAGUCUUCCUGAACAGGUUCUUGAUUGCUGCUGGGAUCAUCAAAGGAUAUUGGACUCUUGCUUCUUCACUCUUCCAAAGGGGACUCUGACAGUGGUUCUGCAGAAAGCUUAGGUCUCAGACUAGGUUAACACCCUUUAUCCCUCUUGUUCUGGGGCUUCAGCCUCUUGGACUGGGCACCUCCUGGUUCUCCCCGCUCUCCAGCCUGCAGACGGCCAUUGUGAACUAUCCAGCUUUUGGUCACAUAAGCCAAACUAGUAAUCCCCCCUUUUAUAAUAAUACUUCCUGUUGCUUCUAUUCCUCUAGAGAACCCUGACUAAUACAGGCGGGAUGGCAAGGGAAAAAUAAAAGCAGGAUGCCACCUCGGUCUGCCAGUUAUACUCUAGCACAGCUAAGUCCAGGGCUAGCCACAUUCUUCUUGGUUCUUAUGAAGUUCCUUCUGGGGACAUCUCUAAAAUAAAUAAAGGAUUAGGCCACGCACAGUGACACAUGCCUGUAAUCCCAGCAGCUUGGGAGACUGAGGCAGGAGGAUCACGAGUUCAAAGCCAGCCUCAGCAAAAGUGAGGCACUAAGCAACUCAUUAAGACCCUGUCUCUAAACAGAAUAAAAAGUAGAGCUAGGGAUAUGGCCCAGUGGUCAAUGCCCCUGAGUUCAAUCCCUGGUACCCCCGACCCCACAAAUAAAAUAAAGUAUUGGGUGGAAACCCUGUAAGCACAGGGCGGGGUGGGAAUCCACAUCACCAGUUUCCAUGCUGUGGGUCCUGGGCUCUUUCUUCAUUCAGGGAGCCAAGAUCAAGUUCAGCUUUCUGUGUCAAUGGAAUUGGCUGUAGGAGAUGGAUCAGGAGGUGAGGAAGGUGUGACCGUCCUAGCAGCUGCCUUAUGAUGUCCAAGGAGAAACGUUCAUCUUCCCACCCUCCUUGGAAGCAGUUAAGACUAGGCUUCUCUGCACACUGCUCACGUCUCCAUGGUCCUGGCACAGAUAUGCUCCCUGCUGUCCUUGUCCUCAGCCAUGCUGCUUGGCCCCUUAUUCUCUGGGUACUUCCAGCUCACAGCACAGAGUCCCCCACAGGGCCUGUCUGCAGGGAGAAGGGCUCAGGCCAGUCCCAGACUAAGGCAGCUGGAGUCCUUGAUGUCUUUCCUGAAGGUCAUUGUCUUUGGCUCACAUACAUAUUCCUGGCCUACUUGUGGCCCAUGGAUCACAGAACACAAAAUGUGCAUAGCAGUUCAGGUGCCAAGGGCCAGCGGUGAUCUUCAAAGAUGUGGUUGUCAUCAGGUUUGUGGACUGUCCUAGACACAAAAGCCACAUAAUCUAGAAAGACCAGUGUCAGGUGGCCCAGAAGGGACUCACAUAAUGGUUAAUGACUUCUUUUGAUAAAAGCAUGAGAAACACAGAAAAUAGUCUUGUAUUUGCUUUAUAAUCUGUCUCUGGUGACUUGGAAUUAACUUUAUUUCUG
rnacentral:lncRNA from 1 species